rnacentral:rRNA from 1 species
AGAGUUUGAUCCUGGCUCAGAACGAACGCUGGCGGCGUGGAUGAGGCAUGCAAGUCGAACGGGAUCCAGCAGGUAGCAAUAUUUGCUGGUGAGAGUGGCGUAAGGGUGAGUAAUGCGUGGGUAAUCUACCUUUAAGAUCGGCAUAGCCCGGCGAAAGCUGGGAUAAUUCCGAAUGUGAUCGACCGGUGCAUACCGGUCUAUUCAAAGCUGGGGACCGCAAGGCCUGGCGCUUGAAGAUGAGCCCACGUCCUAUCAGCUAGUUGGUGAGGUAACGGCUCACCAAGGCAACGACGGGUAUCGGGCGUGAGAGCGUGACCCGACACAUCGGAACUGAGAUACGGUCCGGACACCUACGGGUGGCUGCAGCAACGAAUAUUCCGCAAUGGACGAAAGUCUGACGGAGCGACGCCGCGUGCAGGAAGAAGUCCCUCGGGAUGUAAACUGCUGUCAGGGGUGAGGAACACAAUGACCAACCCCAGAGAGC